GUGCUCGCUCCGGCAGCACGUACCCUAAAAUGGGAACGGUGCAGAGAAGGUUAGCGUGGCCCCUGCGCAAGGAUGACACGCAAAUUCCUGAAGCAGUCCAUAUUUUU
ensembl:snRNA U6 U6 spliceosomal RNA